rnacentral:tRNA from 1 species
GGGUGUGCGGGCCGGGGCCGACUACCGGCUGGUGCCCGCUGAUCCGGAGUGGGCCGCGCAGGCCCGCCGGAUCAUCGCCCGGCUGCACCUG